CUUUUUCUGGUACUUUACCUAAAUUAAAAAUAAAAAAAAAAAAGAAAAAAAAGAUUAAUUUUUUCAGAUACAAUUACAAACGCAUAUAAAACAAAAUGCAUGAAUAUUAUAUUACAAAAUUUAUGUCCUCACAUGCCUAAUUUUGGAAUUAUAUACAACACGGAUUUACAUAUAUCGAUCGAUGCUGAAAGAGGUUUAUAUAUAACUGGAUAUAUAAAUAAAAAAAAAAUUAUAAUUUAAUGAAAAAUAAAAGUGGAAAAGAUGAUUUUGAAGAUAAUGAAGUGAAAAUAAAAAUUAUUAAAAAAAAAAAAAUACUUUUAAUAAAAAAAAAAUAAAAUCAACUCCGUUACUAACAAAUACAUCCAUAAACGAUAAAAAAAAAUAUUCUUGGAUUGAUAAUGUUAAAGAAUUAAGCUUAGAAGGAUGGAUAAAAUGUGAAUUAGCAGGAUGUCUAGAAGCAGUUAUAUUUAUACAUGGUUAUAAUACAAAUCAUUUACAGGCGUUACAAAUUUUAGGUCAGAUGGCUUCAUUUGGUAAUUUCCCCAAUUAUAUAAAAUUAUUUUUAUUUAACUGGCCAUCUGGAGCUAGUUUUUUACAAUUCUUUGUAGCACGAGAUAAUUCGAAAAAUACUAAAGUACACAUAGCAUUAAAGACUUUCUUAAGCACCUUGCGCAGUAAUGGUAUAAGACAAAUACAUAUUAUAACUCAUAGUAUGGGUACACGAACAUUUUUAUUAUCGUUUCAUGACAUCGUCAAAAGCAACUUAUUUUCAACCAUAGAUGAAGAAGAAAAUUCUUCUAGUAAUUUAACUAAAAUGAAAUUAAUUACAUUAACGAUGAUGAACCCAGAAUAUAAUUUAAGUGAUUUCGUAAAUAAAGAAUAUAUUUUUCUUCGAUCGUAUUGUACAGUUAUAUCUAUAUUUUGUGACUCGAAUGAUAAAGCCUUAAGAUGGGCAGAAAUAUUUAGUGGUAAUAAAUCACUAGGUAAAAAUGUAUUUGGUUUGAAUAUAUGUAAAAAUGAUGAUUAUUAUACAAGAAAAAUACAAG
rnacentral:lncRNA from 1 species